rnacentral:misc_RNA from 1 species
UAACAAAAAUAUAUUUUACGUAAAAUCCUCUUGGUAGGUUUUCUUCGAUACGUUCUCUUGAAAUAUUCCAAGUACAUCUUAUACAUAUAUCAUUCCUCGAAACGUGAAUUCAUUUCUCAAAUUCCAUAUCUUAUUAAUCAAAAAAUGUAAAAACAUGAAAACUCGAAUCAAACCGGUAAUUCCAAUACCACGCUUGCCCCUUAUCAAUUGAACCUGUUCCGCAAGCUGCUCCAGUUCAUUGUCCAUUCCAGUAAUCGCCAUCAUCGAUCUCCGGCAAACGUUCAUAGCACGUAUAACUUAUUCGUCCGAAAAAUCUAAAUCACUGUUCUUUAAACAUUGUUUCACUCCCCGUGGUGCAACAGAACGGUUACACGUACAAGUAAAUCAAAAUAUAAAAGGGUUAAAAACAACACCGGAAGAGAGUCGAAAAUAGAAUAGUUAGUCACUGAUGGUCGAGCAGCGUGCAGUGUCUAUUGGCAAGCCAGAAGUAUUUUGGCAAGAUAUAUACAAAUCGCAAUUAAAUCAUUCAGGCCCAAUGUUACUCCACUAAACUACAAAGAAAAAACUACGAAUUCUAAUCCAUUGGGAAUUCAUCUUCAAGCGUAACUCCAGUAAUUAUAACUCUUACCGAUCAGAUACGUAAAUCAUUAUACAUAUCGUUAUACAUUAUACAUCGUACGAGUAUAUGAUACAUUUGCUUUGCACGAUUCGAAUGAUAAUACUUACUCGUGCGAGUUUGUAUUUAACGUAUUUGAGUAAACGUAUUAAAAAUAUCGUAGCGUAAAAGAUUUUCGAACAUCACACGAAAUCCGUUAUUCUCGCGUUCUUACGUAAGAGAGGAUAUAGAAGUACACAGCUUUCGUUUCGUCGUGUCGCGUCGCGUCGUUAGAGAAGUUAAGCAAGCGUUUGGUUAAAGAGUACCGCUACAAUUAUCGGAAAUAAGGCCAGGAAUUAUAUUAUAGAAACAGAGAAUGCUUCUUCGUUUCCGUAGCCAUAACAUCUCCUUUCCCAUACCUACCAGAGAGUAGAGCUC